rnacentral:rRNA from 1 species
GUCCAGACUCCUACGGGAGGCAGCAGUGGGGAAUAUUGCACAAUGGGGGAAACCCUGAUGCAGCGACGCCGCGUGAGUGAAGAAGUAUUUCGGUAUGUAAAGCUCUAUCAGCAGGGAAGAAAAUGACGGUACCUGACUAAGAAGCCCCGGCUAACUACGUGCCAGCAGCCGCGGUAAUACGUAGGGGGCAAGCGUUAUCCGGAUUUACUGGGUGUAAAGGGAGCGUAGACGGCAUGGCAAGUCAGAUGUGAAAGCCCGGGGCUCAACCCCGGGACUGCAUUUGAAACUGUCAGGCUGGAGUGCAGGAGAGGUAAGUGGAAUUCCUAGUGUAGCGGUGAAAUGCGUAGAUAUUAGGAGGAACACCAGUGGCGAAGGCGGCUUACUGGACGGUGACUGACGCUGAGGCUCGAAAGCGUGGGGAGCAAACAGGAUUAGAUACCCUAGUAUA